rnacentral:tRNA from 1 species
GAGUGGAUAGCCUAGUGGUUAAGGCAUCACAUACAAGUUGUCUCCCACUUAAGGACCUUAGUUCAAAUCUGAGUCUAGUCA